UCGGGAAUUUUGGGCAAUGGGCGAAAGCCUGACCCAGCAACGCCGCGUGAAGGAUGAAGUAUUUCGGUAUGUAAACUUCGUAAGAAUAGGAAGAAUAAAUGACGGUACUAUUUGUAAGGUCCGGCUAACUACGUGCCAGCAGCCGCGGUAAUACGUAGGGACCAAGCGUUGUUCGGAUUUACUGGGCGUAAAGGGCGCGUAGGCGGUUUGUCAAGUCAGUUGUGAAAUCUCCGAGCUUAACUCGGAACGGUCAACUGAUACUGUCAAACUAGAGUACAGAAGGGGCAAUCGGAAUUCUUGGUGUAGCGGUGAAAUGCGUAGAUAUCAAGAGGAACACCUGAGGCGAAGGCGGGUUGCUGGGCUGACACUGACGCUGAGGCGCGAAAGCUAGGGUAGCAAACGGGAUUAGAUACCCCCGUAGUCCCUGAGCGGGCUGGCAAGGCGCAU
rnacentral:rRNA from 1 species